rnacentral:lncRNA from 1 species
GGCAGAUCAGAGGGCGGGGCAGAUCAGAGGGCGGGGCAGAUCAGAGGGCGGGGCAGAUCAGAGGGCGGGGCAGAUCAGGGCUCAUCCUUGGCUCCCUUCUCACCUUCGGUUCUGUGGAUCCUUGAGCCUGGGCGGUAGGGCGCCCAGCAGUCCUGUGGCUUAUGAUUCCUGAACUUCGUACUCAAAACAGGACUUAACCUCAGAGCCUGAAGAGAGCACAGAUGGUAGAAGCCAAAGGAGAAGGAUGAUGAAGGCCUGACUGAGCAGACACGUGCGCAGUUCUGAAACCCAGAUGCUUUGAAUAUAGGAGGGAGAACAAUUUGAUCUUCUAUGAAUGCAGUGCCUGUUCGGGUCACAACGCCCAAGAGUCCCUGCUCCACCUGGCCAGGUAGGAAAGUCAUUCAAUGAGUGAAACAUGCUGAGCCCGUGUGCAGUCAACCAGU